CUCAAGCGUUUUUUAAAACCGUGUUCCUAAGUGGAUAUUACUCUUAAUAUAAAGUGUUGUUUUGUUUGAGCAUUUCCUACAUAGGUGGUCAAGUGAAAGGGAAUCCAAGCUCUGCUGCAUUAACAUCUACAUGUAUUUGCUUGCUUGGGUUGUGUUUAUUUCUUUACAGAAAAUUUGAUUUAAAGGAUUAUUAUUUGAUGUUUUCCCUACAGUGACGGUGGGUGGUGUUCUAUACUGCUUUAAGCUUCCAACAUCUGAAUCAACAAUUACUGGUUCCAAAGCUCCAAAGAGCUCCCAUUAUGUGGAUUUAUCAGAAUAUCCACCUGGUACAGAUUGUGGAGGUAGACGAGUCCAUGGGAAACCUCGUUCAUUUACAAUCGUAACCGCCUUGGUAACAACAUUUUACAUGUUUUGGACUUUGUACUUGGCAAUCUAAACCCUGCAUGCAGCAGCCUUGUUUAUAUUUUACAUGUUUUGGACUUUCUUUUUCAACUUUGGAAUCCAAUUAAGCUAAGGCAAGGAGUUUAGUUGGUUAACCUUCUUUGGUCACCUUAACCUUCUUUUCAACAUGUCGAUUUCUGUAUGCGUUUUAAAUAAAUUCUGAAAUUCAAGCAAGUAUUAUCAAUAUUUUGUGUAUUGCUCAUCCGCUUUUGUGUUUGAUU
rnacentral:lncRNA from 1 species